CGCCCAACAGCUAGCCCCCUAACACAACAACAACCAACCAUUAUUUAUAACCCCAAAUAUACUAGUAUAUGCAUUAAACAAACCAUUUUUCCCCUUUAGUAUGGGCGACAGAAAAAGGACCAAGGAGCCAUAGAAAAAGUACCGCAAGGGAACGCUGAAAGAGAAAUGAAACAACCCAGUAAAGCCAAAAGAAGCAGAGAUUUAACCUCGUACCUUUUGCAUCAUGAUUUAGCCAGACUAUUCCAAGCAAAGCGCACUUUAGUUUGAUACCCCGAAACUAGGGGAGCUACUCCAAGCCCGCCUAUCUAUUAGGGCAAACCCGUCUCUGUGGCAAAAGAGUGGGAUGAGCUUCGAGUAGAGGUGAUAAACCUACCGAACCUAGUUAUAGCUGGUUGCCCGGGAAUUGGAUAGAAGUUCAGCCUCCCAGAUUCUUUAAUCACCUCAGUACCACUUCACCUGAAUAUAAGGAGCUAGGAGAGUUAGUCAAGGGGGGUACAGCCCCUUUGAAACAAGACACAACUUUUCAGGCAGGAAAAAGAUCAUAAUCAAACCAAGGAUAAGUAUUUAGGUGGGCCUAAAAGCAGCCAUCCUAACAGAAAGCGUUAUAGCUCAAAUACACCAUUUUCCCUUCGAUCCUGAUAAUUAUUUCUUAAUCCCCCACUACUACCGGGCCGUCCCAUGCCUACCAUGGGAGCGACCCUGCUAAUAUGAGUAAUAAGAGGGCCCCGCCCCUCUCCCAGCACAUGUGUACUUCGGAACGAACCCCCACCGAACAUUAACGUCCCCAAACUAAAAGAGGGCCCUGAACAACAACCCAAGACAACUAGAAAAAAAUUCAAACACUUAAACGUUAACCCUACACAGGCGUGCCUCCGAGGAAAGACUAAAUGAAAGAGAAGGAACUCGGCAAACAAAUGAAGCCUCGCCUGUUUACCAAAAACAUCGCCUCUUGCAAAGCUAAAGAAUAAGAGGUCCCGCCUGCCCUGUGACUAUUAGUUUAACGGCCGCGGUAUUUUGACCGUGCAAAGGUAGCGCAAUCACUUGUCUUUUAAAUGAAGACCUGUAUGAAUGGCACAACGAGGGCUUAACUGUCUCCUCUUUCAAGUCAAUGAAAUUGAUCUCCCCGUGCAGAAGCGGGGAUAAAACCAUAAGACGAGAAGACCCUAUGGAGCUUUAGACACCAAAGAAGAUCCUGUCAAAUAUUCCUAUAUAAAGGCCUGAACCAAUGGAAACCUUCCCUAAUGUCUUUGGUUGGGGCGACCACGGGGAAAAAAAUAACCCCCGCGUGGACUGGGAGCACCUCUACUCCUACAGCCAAGAGCUACAGCUCAAAUCAACAGAAAUUCUGACCUAUAAGAUCCGGCAAUGCCGAUCAACGGACCGAGUUACCCUAGGGAUAACAGCGCAAUCCCCUUUUAGAGCCCAUAUCGACAAGGGGGUUUACGACCUCGAUGUUGGAUCAGGACAUCCUAAUGGUGCAGCCGCUAUUAAGGGUCCGUUUGUUCAACGGUUAAAGUCCUACGUGAUCUGAGUUCAGACCGGAGUAAUCCAGGUCAGUUUCUAUCUAUGACAUGUUCUUUUCUAGUACGAAAGGACCGAAAAGAAGGGGCCCCUGCUCUAAGUAUGCCCCACCCUCACCUAAUGAAAACAACUAAAUUAGGUAAGAGAACAUGUCUUACCUGCCUGAGAAAACAGCCU
rnacentral:rRNA from 1 species